rnacentral:misc_RNA from 1 species
GAUGAAGAACGUAGCGAAAUGCGAUACUUGGUGUGAAUUGCAGAAUCCCGUGAACCAUCGAGUCUUUGAACGCAAGUUGCGCCCGAAGCCACUAGGCCGAGGGCACGCCUGCCUGGGCGUCACACGCCGUUGCCCCCCCAUCUACUCCUUCGGGAUUGCGGGGGGGCGGAUGAUGGCCUCCUGUGCGCCUAGCCGCGCGGUUGGCAUAAAUACCAAGUCCUCGGCGACGCACGCCACGACAAUCGGUGGUUGCGAAACCUCGGUUGCCCGUCGUGUGCGUUCGUCGCGCAUCGAGGGCUCGAAAAAAUGCUCGGCUCCGGCUGGGCUUUCAACGCGACCCCAGGUCAGGCGGGACUACCCGCUGAGUUUAAGCAUAUCAAUAAGCGGAGGA